rnacentral:tRNA from 1 species
GGAGGGAUGGCAGAGCGGACGAUUGCGACGGUCUUGAAAACCGUUGGACCUUCACCGGUCCCGGGGGUUCGAAUCCCCCUCCCUCCG